rnacentral:lncRNA from 1 species
AGGGCCUUAAAUAAAAUAGAGAUACCCCAUGAAAUGAGAUACUCUGAAGGAUGGGAGGGAAUGGAUGGGGGACUUUAAAAACCUAUUCCCCCAAGAAUGCAGGAUCCUUUUACUGUUGCUGUAGUUAUACUUUGCGUGUCUUCUUGCUUCAAUUAGGAAUGUUUUGAUGGUGAAUUCUGCCAUAGUAAUCUACUUCUGUUUUCCUAACCUGGGAUUUUUACAAGAAAGGUUUUUAGGAUGGUCUAAAGGGAGGUAUUUGAUCCCUAAUUUGAAAAUUACUGGCCUUGAUCUUCCUGGUGUGAAUCAAGGAACUAGUGUACCUUGCUCUUGGCAACUCUCGUGGCCUGAAAGAGAAAAUGCUCAUCCUCCAGGUGGGUGAAUCACACCUUUUUCGCAGCUCCAAUCAGACACUGUAUUUUUCAGACUUCAAGGCCUGCUUAUUUGACAGUCUGAGGAACAGCUGUGACACUUGGUAUUUACUUGGUUCCGUUAUUAAUGCAUAUGAUUUUUAAACAUCAGAACUUAAAAUAUCAGAUAAUGUUGCAUGUUUUAUAAAACAUUUCAUCCCUUUGGCUACCCAGGAUGAGAACUAUUUUAGGUAUUACGUACUUAUUAAAUGAGAAUAAUGAUUAUCUGUACAUAUUCAGGCAACGAAAUUUAAUGGUACUCAGUGUUUUUGAGAAGGGAGGACCAAAUGCUGGAAAGAGUAAAACUGCUGAUUGAAAUGCUGACAAAGUUGAAUUUGAAGCCAGUGGGAUAGAUUAUGAAUUUUGCUAAUGGUAACUGAGAUUUUUUUUUUUAACUAUACUAUAGCAGUACAUUGUUCACUAUAUUGCUAAGGAUCUAAUUCUGUCUUGUAAAACAAAUCCAAAUAUGUAUUGUGAAACACCUGUAUAAAACCAUUCUUGAAACAAGUGAUCUACAUGCCUGUGUGUUUUAGAUUAUAAAUCUUCCUUGAUAACAUUACAAAUUCAAUCAAAACUUCUUGCUUAAUAAUUGUCGUAUAAAUUUGAAUUAGAGACCCAGGUGGAUGAAUGCCUGGGCAAACCAUG